rfam:Rhizoctonia solani AG-8 WAC10335 unplaced genomic scaffold Scaffold_77, whole genome shotgun sequence.
UGAGUUGUAGUUUAAUUAGGGAAAACACCAAUCUUUGGCGUUGGCUUCGCAUACCAGUUCGAAUCUGGUCGACUCAG